GGUUAAGCGACUAAGCGUACACGGUGGAUGCCCUGGCAGUCAGAGGCGAUGAAGGACGUGCUAAUCUGCGAAAAGCGCCGGCGAGGUGAUAUGAACCUUUGACCCGGCGAUGUCCGAAUGGGGAAACCCAGUGCAAUUCGUUGCACUAUCGUUAACUGAAUACAUAGGUUAACGAGGCGAACCGGGGGAACUGAAACAUCUAAGUACCCCGAGGAAAAGAAAUCAACCGAGAUUCCCCCAGUAGCGGCGAGCGAACGGGGAGCAGCCCAGAGUCUGAAUCAGCUUGUGUGUUAGUGGAAGCGUCUGGAAAGUCGCACGGUACAGGGUGACAGUCCCGUACACGAAAAUGCACAGGUUGUGAACUCGAAGAGUAGGGCGGGACACGUGGUAUCCUGUCUGAAUAUGGGGGGACCAUCCUCCAAGGCUAAAUACUCCUGACUGACCGAUAGUGAACCAGUACCGUGAGGGAAAGGCGAAAAGAACCCCGGCGAGGGGAGUGAAAAAGAACCUGAAACCGUGUACGUACAAGCAGUGGGAGCACCUUCGUGGUGUGACUGCGUACCUUUUGUAUAAUGGGUCAGCGACUUAUAUUCUGUAGCAAGGUUAACCGUAUAGGGGAGCCGAAGGGAAACCGAGUCUUAACUGGGCGUUAAGUUGCAGGGUAUAGACCCGAAACCCGGUGAUCUAGCCAUGGGCAGGUUGAAGGUUGGGUAACACUAACUGGAGGACCGAACCGACUAAUGUUGAAAAAUUAGCGGAUGACUUGUGGCUGGGGGUGAAAGGCCAAUCAAACCGGGAGAUAGCUGGUUCUCCCCGAAAGCUAUUUAGGUAGCGCCUCGUGAACUCAUCUUCGGGGGUAGAGCACUGUUUCGGCUAGGGGGCCAUCCCGGCUUACCAACCCGAUGCAAACUACGAAUACCGAAGAAUGUUAUCACGGGAGACACACGGCGGGUGCUAACGUCCGUCGUGAAGAGGGAAACAACCCAGACCGCCAGCUAAGGUCCCAAAGUCAUGGUUAAGUGGGAAACGAUGUGGGAAGGCACAGACAGCCAGGAUGUUGGCUUAGAAGCAGCCAUCAUUUAAAGAAAGCGUAAUAGCUCACUGGUCGAGUCGGCCUGCGCGGAAGAUGUAACGGGGCUAAACCAUGCACCGAAGCUGCGGCAGCGACACUAUGUGUUGUUGGGUAGGGGAGCGUUCUGUAAGCCGUUGAAGGUGUGCUGUGAGGCAUGCUGGAGGUAUCAGAAGUGCGAAUGCUGACAUAAGUAACGAUAAAGCGGGUGAAAAGCCCGCUCGCCGGAAGACCAAGGGUUCCUGUCCAACGUUAAUCGGGGCAGGGUGAGUCGACCCCUAAGGCGAGGCCGAAAGGCGUAGUCGAUGGGAAACAGGUUAAUAUUCCUGUACUUGGUGUUACUGCGAAGGGGGGACGGAGAAGGCUAUGUUAGCCGGGCGACGGUUGUCCCGGUUUAAGCAUGUAGGCGGAACGAUUAGGUAAAUCCGGUCGUUUUUUAACGCUGAGGUGUGAUGACGAGGCACUACGGUGCUGAAGUAACAAAUGCCCUGCUUCCAGGAAAAGCCUCUAAGCAUCAGGUAACAUCAAAUCGUACCCCAAACCGACACAGGUGGUCAGGUAGAGAAUACCAAGGCGCUUGAGAGAACUCGGGUGAAGGAACUAGGCAAAAUGGUGCCGUAACUUCGGGAGAAGGCACGCUGAUAUGUAGGUGAAGCCCCUGCGGGUGGAGCUGAAAUCAGUCGAAGAUACCAGCUGGCUGCAACUGUUUAUUAAAAACACAGCACUGUGCAAACACGAAAGUGGACGUAUACGGUGUGACGCCUGCCCGGUGCCGGAAGGUUAAUUGAUGGGGUUAGCGGCAACGCGAAGCUCUUGAUCGAAGCCCCGGUAAACGGCGGCCGUAACUAUAACGGUCCUAAGGUAGCGAAAUUCCUUGUCGGGUAAGUUCCGACCUGCACGAAUGGCGUAAUGAUGGCCAGGCUGUCUCCACCCGAGACUCAGUGAAAUUGAACUCGCUGUGAAGAUGCAGUGUACCCGCGGCAAGACGGAAAGACCCCGUGAACCUUUACUAUAGCUUGACACUGAACACUGGUCCUUGAUGUGUAGGAUAGGUGGGAGGCUUUGAAGUGUGGACGCCAGUCUGCAUGGAGCCGUCCUUGAAAUACCACCCUUUAAUGGCUGGUGUUCUAACGUAGACCCGUAAUCCGGGUUGCGGACAGUGUCUGGUGGGUAGUUUGACUGGGGCGGUCUCCUCCCAAAGAGUAACGGAGGAGCACGAAGGUUAGCUAAUCCUGGUCGGACAUCAGGAGGUUAGUGCAAUGGCAUAAGCUAGCUUGACUGCGAGAGUGACGGCUCGAGCAGGUGCGAAAGCAGGUCAUAGUGAUCCGGUGGUUCUGAAUGGAAGGGCCAUCGCUCAACGGAUAAAAGGUACUCCGGGGAUAACAGGCUGAUACCGCCCAAGAGUUCAUAUCGACGGCGGUGUUUGGCACCUCGAUGUCGGCUCAUCACAUCCUGGGGCUGAAGUAGGUCCCAAGGGUAUGGCUGUUCGCCAUUUAAAGUGGUACGCGAGCUGGGUUUAGAACGUCGUGAGACAGUUCGGUCCCUAUCUGCCGUGGGCGCUGGAGAAUUGAGGGGGGCUGCUCCUAGUACGAGAGGACCGGAGUGGACGCAUCACUGGUGUUCGGGUUGUCAUGCCAAUGGCACUGCCCGGUAGCUAAAUGCGGAAAAGAUAAGUGCUGAAAGCAUCUAAGCACGAAACUUGCCCCGAGAUGAGUUCUCCCUGAGACUUUAAGUCUCCUGAAGGAACGUUGAAGACGACGACGUUGAUAGGUCGGGUGUGUAAGCGCAGCGAUGCGUUGAGCUAACCGAUACUAAUGAACCGUGAGGCUUAACCUU
rnacentral:rRNA from 1 species